GAGUAGGUGUUGCCACCCGUGACGCCCUGCAGGUUCACAAUCUCAGCCUCGGCGUAGUGCGGGACACCCUCGGGGCCGCUGGCCGGGGAUGGCUUCACGAGGCCACUGCAGCCCGUGUCCUCCUCACCCGCCGUGAACUCAGGCAGCUUGCGGAUCAGGCGUGAGGGCUCCUGGUAGUCCGGACCCAAGGGAAAUAUGCGGUCGUAGGUGGAAUUGGACUCGUGCUCGCUGGAGGAGGAGGAGCGAUUGUGGUUGAACAUGCUGGAUUCACUGGGCAGGGAGAGGCUGACGGUCAUCUCGUCAUCCAGCAUCCUCCGUGAUGCCUUCUCCAGCAUCUUCUGCCAGAACUGCCGCCACAGAAUGAUGACGAUGAUGGCCACCAGGAUGAAGAUGAUUGCCACCAGGCAC
rnacentral:lncRNA from 1 species